AAAUGUAUUUUGAAGUUAUCAACACAACCUGUGGCUUAACAUCUCUCUCUUAUAAAAACUGAAAACAUGCGACUCGAGAAUGACAAAAGACGGAGUGAAAGGUAUUGGGACUCGCAAACAUCAUUCACUUCUCUAUUUUUUCUCUAUCUCUUAUUAUAUUUUAGGAAAAAAAUGGGUGCAUCUGCUCCAUUCUAUCGUUUUUUUAGCAGCUUCAUAUCCAGAUCUUCAAGAAACAGUGUCAGUUAACUCUCCUGCAGGGGCCAAAGAUAGAUCAGUAAUAAAUGGGCUUAGAAAACCCACUUAAAAUUAAAUUUGGUAGAAGAAGAGAUAUCCCUCGCAUGAACAACCAUUAGCGCCACAAUCGUAAUUCCUCUUGCUUCCGGUAUUGAUUGUAAAAAGAAAUUUGCUUCUCCUGGAGUUUGAAGCUCACUGACAAGGCAAGUCUCUACCUUGCAUGUUCCUUUUUCUUUUUUUUUUUUUAAUUUCUCUUUAAUUGUUUUAACAAAGGUUAGCAAACUCCAUUGUUGUUGUUGAAGAAUUCUGGUGACUGGUUUUAGAUUAUGUAAGGCUUAAUCACAGCACAAUUUCGUUUUUCAAUUAUUUGAAACCAGAAACUGUAUGGAGUCGAUGCUUCUAAGAUUGGGAAGGGAUUGUCCGAAGACACCAAAGCACAAAAAUUGGCUUUUCAACAUUGGAUUGAAGCUAUAAUUUAACAAUUAUGUUGGGUCAUGAGAUCCGUUCUACUAUUGUCUAUGAGCAAAUGCUUCAAACCUUGAAAGAUUUCUUUGCAGUGAAGAUUGUUCCAAAAGCCAAGAUGGACAGUACAUACCAACAUCCAAGUAUUCAAAUCUUCAUUAUGGACUAAAACUCCCAGCUGUUACUGCAGAGAAGGCAGCCCAUGUUGUUAGCCCAGAUAAGCUGGAGAACAAGACUCAAGGUAUUCACCAGCAAGUUAAUAAGCUUGAAACAAGCAAAACAGAUCUAGAAAAAGGAGAGAACUGUGGAAGUAGUACAGAGUUAGAUGAUUUAGAUGGUGAAAUUAUCAAGGAAGAUUGACUCCUACUUACAAGACUCCCUAAUGGGAAGCAAGAAGAUAUGGCUCAAUGGCUACCUGACUUCUACAAGACAUCACGGUAACUUAAAUUUUCAGGUGCAAAACCAAAUGUGAAACAAGGAAGAAGAAAAGAAGCGUGCUUGCUUAACAUUGGAGGAGCUAGGUCAGUUGUCUGAUGAUACAAAUACGUACAAAUCCAUAGACCCAACAAAUGGUAUCAGAGCGAGAGUUAUUUUGAGACAACGAUACAGAAGUAGUCCAAGAUAGAAGUAAAUUCUGUUUGAGAUCAUGGAGGGUGAUAUAGAUUCCAUGAUAAAAUUUACAGCAUCAAAUUAUUCAAUUUAAAAGCCUAUGAUGGAGGAUCAUCUAUAUUAUAAAAAUUUGUAUGAACCGAUAUUAGGUAAUUCGACUAAACCAGCAUAUAUGAAAGCUAGAAGAAGUUAAGCAGAAAGACAUUGGCUACAAUCAGAAAAUGAGUUGAUAUUAGAGUGUUCCAUAAUGUAGCACAAGAGGCAGAUACCCGCAUUGUUUGAAAAAAAUUGACAGCAUUGUAUGAGAGAAAAAAUGUAUGAAUAAAGUUAUACUUGUUAAAAAGCUUGUAACUUUACAGUACAAUGAUGGAUGAUCUAUUAUAAAACACUUGAGUGAUUUUCAAGAUAUAUUUAAUCGGA